CUAAAGCUACUAAGAAAGAGACAGCUGGAGGUAAGAUGGCCCGUACUGGGAGAGAGACCCCAGAGGAGAGAGCAGGUGGAAGGGGUUUCAAAGUGGAAACCCACUUUGAAGAGAGUACUGGGGUCCAGGAGAAGAAAGUCAAGGAUGCCUGGAAACGAGGCAUUGGACCAAGACAUGGAACCCAGGACACAGACGUGGAACCCUGGAACAGCUGGAUAACAUCUAUAAAGAGAAAUUUCCCAUCAUCAAUUAAUUGGUAACCUGA
rnacentral:lncRNA from 10 species